GUUUUGUUUGGUAUGCAAAGCGUGUUCAAGGAAACUACAAUGGCAGAAGAAAAGAAGUGGACACAUGAACGCAAAAAGUUAUUAAUUACGACAAGACUUCGCCAUGAAGCUGAUUUUAGCGGCAAAAAAAAAGAAAUGAAAUACCAUUUGGAAACUAUAUUGCGAGAAAUUAAAGAUGUGAAAAGCUCUUUUCCCUUUUCCAGAGACGAUAUAACUAGAUGUUUCUUAAACAUCAUCCUCUAAAAUUUUGGUGACCUAUUAUAUAUUGUAUUUCAAAUUCAUUUUUACUCACCUUGAAGGUGUUUUUUUUGCAUUCGAAAAUGGGAAUAAAAUGUGUCGUCAUCCAUUAGUGAAUCAGA